GACGAACGCUGGCGGCGUGCCUAAUACAUGCAAGUCGAGCGAGCGGAACUAACAGAUUUACUUCGGUAAUGACGUUAGGAAAGCGAGCGGCGGAUGGGUGAGUAACACGUGGGGAACCUGCCCCAUAGUCUGGGAUACCACUUGGAAACAGGUGCUAAUACCGGAUAGGAAAGCAGAUCGCAUGAUCAGCUUUUAAAAGGCGGCGUAAGCUGUCGCUAUGGGAUGGCCCCGCGGUGCAUUAGCUAGUUGGUAAGGUAAAGGCUUACCAAGGCGAUGAUGCAUAGCCGAGUUGAGAGACUGAUCGGCCACAUUGGGACUGAGACACGGCCCAAACUCCUACGGGAGGCAGCAGUAGGGAAUCUUCCACAAUGGACGCAAGUCUGAUGGAGCAACGCCGCGUGAGUGAAGAAGGUUUUCGGAUCGUAAAGCUCUGUUGUUGGUGAAGAAGGAUAGAGGUAGUAACUGGCCUUUAUUUGACGGUAAUCAACCAGAAAGUCACGGCUAACUACGUGCCAGCAGCCGCGGUAAUACGUAGGUGGCAAGCGUUGUCCGGAUUUAUUGGGCGUAAAGCGAGCGCAGGCGGAAGAAUAAGUCUGGUGUGAAAGCCCUCGGCUUAACCGAGGAACUGCAUCGGAAACUGUUUUUCUUGAGUGCAGAAGAGGAGAGUGGAACUCCAUGUGUAGCGGUGGAAUGCGUAGAUAUAUGGAAGAACACCAGUGGCGAAGGCGGCUCUCUGGUCUGCAACUGACGCUGAGGCUCGAAAGCAUGGGUAGCGAACAGGAUUAGAUACCCUGGUAGUCCAUGCCGUAAACGAUGAGUGCUAAGUGUUGGGAGGUUUCCGCCUCUCAGUGCUGCAGCUAACGCAUUAAGCACUCCGCCUGGGGAGUACGACCGCAAGGUUGAAACUCAAAGGAAUUGACGGGGGCCCGCACAAGCGGUGGAGCAUGUGGUUUAAUUCGAAGCAACGCGAAGAACCUUACCAGGUCUUGACAUCUAGUGCCAUUUGUAGAGAUACAAAGUUCCCUUCGGGGACGCUAAGACAGGUGGUGCAUGGCUGUCGUCAGCUCGUGUCGUGAGAUGUUGGGUUAAGUCCCGCAACGAGCGCAACCCUUGUUAUUAGUUGCCAGCAUUAAGUUGGGCACUCUAAUGAGACUGCCGGUGACAAACCGGAGGAAGGUGGGGAUGACGUCAAGUCAUCAUGCCCCUUAUGACCUGGGCUACACACGUGCUACAAUGGGCAGUACAACGAGAAGCGAGCCUGCGAAGGCAAGCGAAUCUCUGAAAGCUGUUCUCAGUUCGGACUGCAGUCUGCAACUCGACUGCACGAAGCUGGAAUCGCUAGUAAUCGCGGAUCAGCACGCCGCGGUGAAUACGUUCCCGGGCCUUGUACACACCGCCCGUCACACCAUGGGAGUCUGCAAUGCCCAAAGCCGGCGGCCUAACCUUCGGGAAGGAGCCGUCUAAGGCAGGGCAGAUGACUGGGGUGAAGUCGUAACAAGGUAGCCGUAGGAGAACC
rnacentral:rRNA from 1 species